rnacentral:tRNA from 1 species
GGCUCGUUGGUUAGAGCACCCAUUUGGUAAGCGGGAGGUCUUGAGUUCAACUCUCAA